rnacentral:tRNA from 1 species
GCCGGGGUGGCCGAGGGGUUUAGGCGGCGGGCUGCAGACCCGUUUUACGCGGGUUCGAAUCCCGCCCCCGGCUCCA